GACGAACGCUGGCGGCGUGCCUAAUACAUGCGAGUAGAACGCUGAAGGAGGAGCUUGCUCUUCUGGAUGAGUUGCGAACGGGUGAGUAACGCGUAGGUAACCUGCCUGGUAGCGGGGGAUAACUAUUGGAAACGAUAGCUAAUACCGCAUAACAGUAGAUGUUGCAUGACAUUUGCUUAAAAGGUGCAAUUGCACCACUACCAGAUGGACCUGCGUUGUAUUAGCUAGUUGGUGGGGUAACGGCUCACCAAGGCGACGAUACAUAGCCGACCUGAGAGGGGGAUCGGCCACACUGGGACGGAGACACGGCCCAGACUCCUACGGGAGGCAGCAGGAGGGAAUCUUCGGCAAUGGACGGAAGUCUGACCGAGCAACGCCGCGUGAGUGAAGAAGGGUUUCGGAUCGUAAAGCUCGGUUGUAAGAGAAGAACGAGUGUGAGAGUGGAAAGUUCACACUGUGACGGUAUCUGACCAGAAAGGGACGGCUAACUACGUG
rnacentral:rRNA from 1 species